AAGGAAAGGAAGUUGCCUAAUAAUUAUGCACACAUGAUAUAGGGUGUUGAUGUCAUUAGACCACACCCCUUCUCAUUACAGAGAUGCACAUCACCUAAUAUGCUUAAUUGGUAGUAGGCUUUCGAGCCUAUACAGCUUGGAGUAAGACAACAUGCAUAAAGAGGAUGAUGUGGUCAAAAUACUCAUUUGCCUAAUAAUUCUGCACUCCCUGUACACACGCCUUGACAUACAGAUACACACUCAGAUGCACACAUUGACACAUGCACAAAACAUUACACAGAUACGCACAUACACACAAUGACCCAUACAAACACAUACACACACCUUGACACACAAAUACACACAUACUCAGAUACACACAGUGAAACAUACACACAGUUGCACCCACAGAUACACACACUGGCACAUACACACAUUAUUAUUAUUGGUAUUUAUAUAGCGCCAGCUUAUUCCGCAGCGCUUUACAAUAAAAGGGGAAUUUACCAAAUGAUGUAACAGGAACAAUAGGUAGUUAAGGACCCUGCUCAAACAAGCUUACUGUCUAGAGCUGUGUUUCCCAAUUGGGUUUCCGCCAAAAUGUCUAAAAACAAAAUUGCCGCGGGCGGCGAGGGAGCAGUGAUCUCUCUGCUCAGCUCCAUCGCGUGUACAG